GUGGGGAAUAUUGGACAAUGGGCGAAAGCCUGAUCCAGCCAUGCCGCGUGUGUGAAGAAGGUCUUCUGAUUGUAAAGCACUUUAAGUUGGGAGGAAGGGCAGUAAGUUAAUACCUUGCUGUUUUGACGUUACCGACAGAAUAAGCACCGGCUAACUUCGUGCCAGCAGCCGCGGUAAUACGAAGGGUGCAAGCGUUAAUCGGAAUUACUGGGCGUAAAGCGCGCGUAGGUGGUUUUGUAAGUUGGAGGUGAAAUCCCCGGGCUCAACCUGGGAACUGCCUCCAAAACUACUGAGCUAGAGUACGGUAGAGGGUAGUGGAAUUUCCUGUGUAGCGGUGAAAUGCGUAGAUAUAGGAAGGAACACCAGUGGCGAAGGCGACUACCUGGACUGAUACUGACACUGAGGUGCGAAAGCGUGGGGAGCAAACAGGAUUAGAUACCCUUGUAGUCC
rnacentral:rRNA from 1 species